rnacentral:rRNA from 1 species
AUUGAACGCUGGCGGCAGGCCUAACACAUGCAAGUCGAGCGGAGCGGCGGACGGGUGAGUAAUGCCUAGGAAUCUGCCUGGUAGUGGGGGAUAACGUCCGGAAACGGGCGCUAAUACCGCAUACUAUCAGAUGAGCCUAGGUCGGAUUAGCUAGUUGGUGGGGUAAAGGCCUACCAAGGCGACGAUCCGUAACUGGUCUGAGUGGAGGAUCAGUCACACUGAAACUGAGACACGGUCCAGACGCCUACGGGAGGCAACAGUGGGGAAUAUUGGACAAUGGGCGAAAGCCUUGUCCAGCCAUGGCGCGUGUGUGAAGAAGGUCGUCGGAUUGUAAAGCACUGUAAGUUGGGAGGCGGUACCAACAGAAUAUGGACCGGCCAACUUGGUGCCAGCAGCCGCGGUAAUUC